GUGCUGGGACUAAAGGUGUGCGCCAUCACAACCCAGUAGUGUAUUUUCUUGUAAAGUCAUGCUUAUGGAGCCGCGUGUUGGGUACCCAGGAUACACGCAACAGUUGAGAAAACGGGCAGAGUCCUGCUUUGAUGCUCCACCACUGGAGAAGCAAAUAUGCCACUGUAUGGAGAGGUCAAGUGCUAAUACAUGCUAUAAAGAGCAAUGGAGCUGAAAAGGAUGAGGAGGGGGAGGGAGGGAGGGAUCAGAGCUCUCAAGGAAGUAAAGGGAAUAAAGAGCAGAAGGAAGAGUGUACUGGGAGAAGGAACUGCCCAGUGCUGAGUCCUGCGGCCCAGUGCUGAGUCCUGCGGUGAGAAGCCCCCAGGUGGGGACUGGGGGACAUCAGCAAGGUCACUGAGGCAGGAUUUUACUCUGCUCUUGAGUCAGAGCCAUUCCAGGCUCCAGGGGGUGAGAAGGAAGCAGAAAGGCCCUGAAGAAGUAAUACUGGAGCAGCACCCUUUCUUUGGAGGAAAUAAUGUCUAACAGGAAGGAGGAAGGGAAAGCACGGGGCAGGAGGCACCUGGAGGCUGAGCUCGUGAUGAGAGCUCAGUGGAGCAAUGGAGAAUCAAGGGAAUCUCUGUGCACAGAGAGGAGGAGAGGUUUUCAUCUCUCAUCUCCUCUGCCUGUGCUUUUUGACAAGGUUUUCCCAGUCCAGGCCUACUCCGUGCCUGACUGCUGGACUCAGGGGAACGUGGCAGGACUGGUAAGACACGCUGGGUGAGCACUGGCUACUUCCCUGGCCUCUGAAGUCAUCCGUCCUCCCAGCAGUCCCACGACCUGACCUAGGCAGGUCCUGUUUCUAUUUGGAUUUGGCAAAUGAGGAAACAAGGUUCAGAUCCAUAGCAUCCUGCAGCUAGCAGGAGGCAGAGCUGGGCCACAAGCCCAGAUGGUAGACCUGCCUCUCAAAACCCACACUGGCCUCUGUAGCUGAGCCUGCUCUCUGCCCAUGAGAGUGGCUGGUCCCACUGCCAGGCAUCAGGUACUCGGGACUCUUCCAGCUGGCAGAGCAGGGUCAUCGCAUCUACCUCCCCCACACCCCACCGCAAUCCAAAUUACAGAGAAAGAAACCAAGAGGAAGAGACACCUUUGGACCCCAAAUCUAGCCUUCAUCCAAGACACCAACCAAUCCGGCGGGUCUCAGAUGAAUGUCAAAAGCCUUAGCUGGGAGCUUGCCAGGCACAACACAUUCUCUUGAACUUCCUUAAUCUGAGCCUGCUUUGGGGGUUAGCUACAUUCCUCGGCCCCUCCGUCUACAGCCUUGUCUGCUUUUUUCUUCCCUUCGAGUGGGGAAAUGAGGACCCCUGCCAGGUGGUCCUCAGGCUCCAGUCAUGGGUUCUUCUACGCUGUCCUCCUGACUCUCUUCUAACAAGUGGUUCACGCCAAGAAGUGCCCUGCGGCCACAGGACCUGUCUUGCCCCGCCGACCCACUGUUUUCCCAGAGGCAAGCCCAGCUGAGACAGUAAAACAGACCUGUGACCUCCUCAGAGCUCCUCAGCCAGGAGAUCUGGCAGAGGGAACUAGAUCACUCCAUAAAAAUGGAUUCCUAGAAAAACACAAACCAGCUAUUUACCUUGUAAAUUUUAUUGCCCUAAAAAAAAAAGUAUCCCAUUUUAAUAAGGAAUCGAGGGAAGGCAUUCCUUGUCCCUCCUUUAUUGGUGAACAAGGACACACAGUCAACAGAAACUCACAAGAGGCUGCGAGUCCGAUUCAUUAGCCACUUUGUCUCGUAAAACCCAGCAUUUUUAUUAAAAGAGGAUGAGGAUAGCCAAACGCUCUGCUCGUUUUUAAGAAAACUGCUUUUAAUGUCAGGCAAGACUUGGUUUGGUUUUUUUUUUUUUUUUCCUUAAUAAUUUCUCAAACAAAGCUCAGACUCUCCCGACUCCACGCCUGUUCCUCCAGCCGCAGGAGGGAAAGGGAUUUCUGAAUCCAUCUGACAUGUCGGAUUUCUUUGUGGCAUCCACUCCAUCGCUCAGCAGCCAGCCAUGAUGUCAUAAGCCCAUCAGAUUUCCGGCUUCACACCUUUGGGAAGAAUAAGAGACACUAGCGUCCCCUGCCAGAGCUCUGCCUUGAGCUCCCGCCUCCAAGAUACAUGGACACCUGGAGCCACGGGGGCAAUGACAAGCAAAUCCAGAAGUCCCAAAACAACACAACCCCCAUCCCUCUGUCUCAUCUAUACUGCCCUAUACUCCCCCAACCCACACCCACACCCAAACCUCCUCACUGAAGCUGAGAAAAGCAGCCAGAACGCAUGGUGUUAGUCCUGUCUUCUGAUUCCUAGAGUGGGACACCAAGUUACCCUCUUUCUCAGAUUCCUCACUGGAGAGACGGGGACACUUCAAAUGCAGCCAAUUGCACCAAAGAGCAGAUUAGCGGAAUCAAGGUCUCCUGCCUCAUCUUACUACCCGGGGGAAAAGGGGGCUGCUGAACCCGAGGCUUGGAGCUCCCACCCGCACAAGUCGCCAUAACCAAGAACCUAAGAUUCUGGGGACGCCGCGGGGUCUUCGUGUGUGCGAGCUGCCCCUUUCCCCUCCGGGAGUUACUCAACGCACUCCAGCAAACUUUCCAGAAGCGUCUACAGCUUCCCGUGGCUCUGCAACACUACCAACCAUCAACUCGCGUCCACAGCCUCGCUUGCUCCCGGCUACCUGGAGGUCCCCCGAGUCCCAGGACCGCGCGCACCUCCACACACUCUCCAGCCACUGCGGACCUCAGCCUUGGGGAUCAGUCUGUCCCCGUUUCAGAUCUCCCGGGCGCCUCCUCCGCACCACCUGCGCUCAUCUACACCGCCUCGGGGGUCCUCGGGUCGCUUGCGUCUACACAGCUUCAGCAGUCUCCGGGUCUACACAACCCAGCACAUGAGCGAUGCCCUCAAGGUUCACCCAGUGUCUCAUCCCAGUGCCUACCUUGCCUACUACAGUUCCUCACGCUCCCGUCCUGGCUGUGCCUUCUGGUUCACACACAUUUUGCAAUCUUGUCAGUAGAGAAAGGAAAGGAAAUCUUGUAAUCCUCCUGCAGCCACGUGGUGUUUGCCCCUAACCCCCUUCUCCGUUUUUUUAGUUGUUUUGUUCUUUUUUUUUUUUUCCUUU